AAACUUUUAACAACGGAUCUCUUGGCUCUGGCAUCGAUGAAGAACGCAGCGAAAUGCGAUAAGUAAUGUGAAUUGCAGAAUUCAGUGAAUCAUCGAAUCUUUGAACGCACAUUGCGCCCGUCAGCAUUCUGGCGGGCAUGCCUGUCCGAGCGUCAUU
rnacentral:rRNA from 3 species